AACAGACACAUUACACACACAAACACACACACCAACAAAUAUAUAUACACAAUACACAGCACACAAAGAGAACAGACACAAAAAAUUUUCUCUCUUCUUCAUUCACGUAUCUCUUUCUAAUCUUUUUUUCUCUCUCUUUCCCCUUCACUGCCAAUAAAAUUCAGUAACCACAUGGCCGGAAAACCAACGCCAACUUGCAUCACCAAACAGCUACCACUAUCCACCCGAAACAACCACCACCAUCGCCCUAAAUAGGCCCAAAAUCAUAACCAAACAAUCACCGAAGUUAGACCUUCGAUUUUCAACCAGCCCCGCCCUUUCUCUCUCUCUUUCUUGCGCUAGCGAACCACCAGAUCCAACCACCAACCAGCCGACCACUGCUCUUUUUUCCUCCCUCUUCCGCUGUUGGCUCGCUGGAAGUGAUGAUCGGCGAGCUCCAACACACUAUUACCAUUGUUGCCCGCCUGAAAAUAGGGUAGAUCUGGCCGUUUUUACGAUUCUGGCAUUUCUCCGGUAAACACCAUCAAAGCGAUGCCACUAGCAGCCUUUGUUGUCUCCGAUUGUGGUUAUUAAGCUUUAUUUUCUCAAAACAUAUCUAUGCAUUUCUUCUGCU
rnacentral:lncRNA from 1 species